rnacentral:rRNA from 1 species
AACUAACAAGGAUUCCCCUAGUAACGGCGAGUGAAGCGGGAAGAGCUCAAAUUUGAAAUCUGGCAGUCUUCGAUUGUCCGAGUUGUAAUCUAUAGAGGCGUUUUCCGUGCCGGACCGUGUCCAAGUCUCCUGGAAAGGAGUAUCAAAGAGGGUGAUAAUCCCGUACUUAACACGACCACCGGUGCUCUGUGAUACGUCUUCUACGAGUCGAGUUGUUUGGGAAUGCAGCUCAAAAUGGGUGGUGAAUUCCAUCUAAAGCUAAAUAUUGGCGAGAGACCGAUAGCGAACAAGUACCGUGAGGGAAAGAUGAAAAGCACUUUGGAAAGAGAGUUAAACAGUACGUGAAAUUGUUGAAAGGGAAACGAUUGAAGUCAGUCGUGUUCUUUGGAUUCAGCCAGUUCUGCUGGUCUACUUCCUUGGAACGGGUCAACAUCAGUUUUGUCCGGUGGAUAAAGGUAGUAGGAAUGUGACUUCUCCGGAAGUGUUAUAGCCUAUUAUCACAUACACUGGGUGAGACUGAGGACUGCAGCUCGCCUUUAUGGCCGGCCUUCGGGCACGUUCGAGCUUAGGAUGUUGACAUAAUG